GGCAGAAUAGCUCAGUGGUAAUGGCUUCGGCCUAGAGCAUCUCAGGCCAUAUGAGAAGGUACUGGGUUCAAUUCCCAGUUCAGCCU